rnacentral:rRNA from 1 species
UGGGGAAUUUUGGACAAUGGGCGAAAGCCUGAUCCAGCAAUGCCGCGUGUGUGAAGAAGGCCUUCGGGUUGUAAAGCACUUUUGUCCGGAAAGAAAUCCUUGGCUCUAAUACAGUCGGGGGAUGACGGUACCGGAAGAAUAAGCACCGGCUAACUACGUGCCAGCAGCCGCGGUAAUACGUAGGGUGCAAGCGUUAAUCGGAAUUACUGGGCGUAAAGCGUGCGCAGGCGGUUUGCUAAGACCGAUGUGAAAUCCCCGGGCUCAACCUGGGAACUGCAUUGGUGACUGGCAGGCUGGAGUAUGGCAGAGGGGGGUAGAAUUCCUACGUGUAGCAGUGAAAUGCGUAAGAGAUGUGGAGGAAUACCGAUGGCGAAGGCAGCCCCCUGGGCCAAUACUGACGCCUG